UGCAGGUGUUUGAGCAGGUGAAUCAG
rnacentral:piRNA from 1 species